AAUGCCCUUCCUCUGCUUUCCUUCCUCCUGCACUGGGGCUGUCUCUCUGUCCUCCAUUAUAGUCCUAUUAGGGAUCUAGAGGAAAGCGGCGUUUUUGGAGCCAGACUCGAGCUGUGGGACUGAGUAAUUUCUUUAAGUGCUUAGUGCUUCGGCUCCCUCAGCUUUCCAUGGAGGUGGGCCUGGUAAUACCAAAUCUCCUCUCCAGUUGUGCUAUGCAAAGACAAGCGCCAGGCAUGAGGGACAAAGUGUCCUGCCCAGUGGAGAGCCCCUGGCCCCUGAUUCUGUGGAUGCCGUCAAGAGUGAGGACUAAGGAGGGCAGUCAACAGUGGUCCAGAAGAGUUCCAAGAGAGCAGAGGCAGUGGGACCAGGAGGAGCGCUGAUGGGAGGUCAGAAGCUUCACUCCGGUCUAAGCUUCCUUGGCUGGCAGAGCCAGAGCUAUCCUGAAGGAGAUGGCUCCCUCUUCCUCUCAUCCACAGAACUGAUUACUACAUGUCAGGUGCUGUUCAUACAGGCAGUGAUGAACAGGACAGACAUAGCCCUUGACUUCAAAGGACUCACUGUGUAGCUGG